rnacentral:rRNA from 1 species
AGGACGAACGCUGGCGGCGUGCUUAACACAUGCAAGUCGAACGGGGUCCAACCAGUGGCAACACUGGGGAAGACUUAGUGGCGAACGGGUGAGUAACACGUGAGCAACCUGCCCCGAAGACCGGGACAAGCCUGGGAAACCGGGUCUAAUACCGGAUGUCCCCACCGGACCGCAUGAUCUGGUGAGGAAAUGGACUCCGCUUCGGGAGGGACUCGCGGCCUAUCAGCUUGUUGGUGGGGUAAUGGCCUACCAAGGCGUCGACGGGUAGCUGGUCUGAGAGGACGAUCAGCCACACUGGGACUGAGACACGGCCCAGACUCCUACGGGAGGCAGCAGUGGGGAAUCUUGCGCAAUGGGCGAAAGCCUGACGCAGCAACGCCGCGUGAGGGACGAAGGCCUUCGGGUUGUAAACCUCUUUCAGCAGGGACGAUUGUGACGGUACCUGCAGAAGAAGCCCGGCAACUACGUGCCAGCAGCCGCGGUAA